rnacentral:rRNA from 1 species
CCUACGGGUGGCAGCAGUGGGGAAUAUUGGGCAAUGGGCGCAAGCCUGACCCAGCAACGCCGCGUGAAGGAAGAAGGCUCUCGGGUUGUAAACUUCUUUUCUCAGGGACGAAGCAAGUGACGGUACCUGACGAAUAAGCCACGGCUAACUACGUGCCAGCAGCCGCCGUAAUACGUAGGUGGCAAGCGUUAUCCGGAUUUACUGGGUGUAAAGGGCGUGUAGGCGGGGACGGAAGUCAGAUGUGAAAACCACGGGCUCAACCUGUGGCCUGCAGUUGAAACUGUUUUUCUUGAGUACAGGAGAGGCAGACGGAAUUCCUGGUGUAGCGGUGAAAUGCGUAGAUAUUAGGAAGAACACCAGUGGCGAAGGCAGUCUGCUGGACAGCAACUGACGCUGAGGCGCGAAAGCGUGGGGAGCAAACAGGAUUAGAUACCCGGGUAGUC